rnacentral:rRNA from 1 species
GAACGCUAGCUACAGGCUUAACACCUGCAAGUCGAGGGGAAACGACAUCGAAAGCUUGCUUUUGAUGGGCGUCGACCGGCGCACGGGUGAGUAACGCGUAUCCAACCUGCCAUCACUUGGGAAUAACCUUGCGAAAGUAAGACUAAUACCCAAUGACAUCCCACGAAGACAUCUGAAUGGGAUUAAAGAUUUAUCGGUGAUGGAUGGGGAUGCGUCUGAUUAGCUUGUUGGCGGGGUAACGGCCCACCAAGGCAACGAUCAGUAGGGGUUCUGAGAGGAAGGUCCCCCACAUUGGAACUGAGACACGGUCCAAACUCUUACGGGAGGCAGCAGUGAGGAAUAUUGGUCAAUGGGCGAGAGCCUGAACCAGCCAAGUAGCGUGCAGGAUGACGGCCCUAUGGGUUGUAAACUGCUUUUAUAAGGGAAUAAAGUGGGUCUCGUGAGACUUUUUGCAUGUACCUUAUGAAUAAGGACCGGCUAAUUCCGUG